rnacentral:rRNA from 1 species
GUAGGGAAUAUUGGACAAUGGGGGCAACCCUGAUCCAGCGACGCCGCGUGAGUGAUGAAGGCCUUCGGGUCGUAAAGCUCUGUUGCAGGGGAAGAACACAAUGACGGUACCCUGCUAGAAAGGAUCGGCUAACUUCGUGCCAGCAGCCGCGGUAAGACGAGGGAUCCUAGCGUUGUUCGGAAUUAUUGGGCGUAAAGCGGGUUCAGGUGGCUUGGUAAGUCAGAUGUGAAAGCCUGGGGCUUAACCCCAGAAGUGCAUUUGAUACUGCUGAGCUUGAGUGCUGGAGAGGCUAUUAGAAUUCCUGGUGUAGUGGUGAAAUACGUAGAUAUCAGGAGGAAUACCGGAGGCGAAGGCGGAUAGCUGGCCAGACACUGACACUCAGACCCGAAAGCGUGGGGAUCAAACAGGAUUAGAAACCCCAGUAGUCC